UUAUUUUGUAAUGGCAAAAUAAUAAUAUUGACAUCAUAUUGACUAGUGCAUUAGAUCACAAAGCAUCAAUGUCAAUCUACAUGUCAGGGACACGUGUCAUCCAUAUAAGUGCUUAUUUCAAGACAUGAAAUAUUUGUCUCUGACAUUCUCACUUUUAAAAUGUCUAAAUACCUAUUAGAUAGAAAAGGUACAGUACACACUGGGAAUAGCACACCACAGCCAAAACAGAUACAAGUAAAUUUACAGUUUUUCUCGAUUGCUUUCUCGAUGCUGAGUAACCUGUACAUUUGCUACAUUUGGAAAUGAAGCUUUUGGAAAAUGGGUAUUUUAUUGUGCAUGGACUCUUCCUUACAUGUUUUGUCAGUGUGACAUUUCAAAGGUCAGGUUUUUGACCAAAACAGCAUAUACAUUAGUAUUCCCUUAUCCACUAAUGUACGAGGUAUUUAUUACAGUAGUAUUCCCUUAUCCACUAAUGUACGAGCUAUUUAUUACAGUAGUAUUCCCUUAUCCACUAAUGUACGAGCUAUUUAUUACAGUAGUAUUCCCUUAUCCACUAAUGUACGAGCUAUUUAUUACAGUAGUAUUCCCUUAUCCACUAAUGUAUGAGCUAUUUAUUACAGUAGUAUUCCCUUAUCCACUAAUGUACGAGGUAUUUAUUACAGUAGUAUUCCCUUAUCCACUAAUGUACGAGGUAUUUAUUACAGUAGUAUUCCCUUAUCCACUAAUGUACGAGGUAUUUAUUCUAGUAGUAUUCCCUUAUCCACUAAUGUACGAGGUAUUUAUUACAGUAGUAUUCCCUUAUCCACUAAUGUACGAGCUAUUUAUUACAGUAGUAUUCCCUUAUCCACUAAUGUACGAGCUAUUUAUUACAGUACUGUUUUGAAGUUCUCUCGCCAGGGUGUUCCUGAAAAGAUUAUCUGGAUAGUCAGUGCUGUGAUUUUACAAAGUUCAACAUAAUUGAUCUGAAAACCUAUUCUAAACAUUUUGGUAGCAGUAUUUUGAAUAAAUCCCUCCAGUGUGUAACAAACAGUCAUGGAGUCUGUUUUUGACAGUUUGUGUGUGUUGUCUGAGGGCAAAGUUUGAAUUGGGACCCAGAAGUUAGAUGUUUGUACCGUUGGGUGUGAGUUUUUUACAAUUGUGUGUGAAGAUUUGAGAAAAUGGUGAGUUGUUCCAGGAAUUGUGUCUAAGCAAUUGAGAAACUGUAAAAGGGAUAAUCCACCCCGAGAAAUGAAACAGGUCAAUUUCGUGAAAGCCUAUGUUCAAUCAGUGGAUAAAAAAAUGUUUCCCUCAUGAUUAAAAUUUUAAGUGGUGCGUCUGCGAAACCAGGAAAUCAUGUAGGAACGCGUCAUAGCUACACGGUUCUCAUCACUGUAUAUAGUGUGUUUUCUCCUUCAAGUACCAUAAUGCAAUGUGUGUCUGUGGGAAACGUGGGAAAAAGGCAUCGUCCUCUGCUCUCGCUUGGUGAGAGAGCCUCCUAAAUUGAUAAUGUAGUUUGUUUACGUGAUUUUUAAAGCUACAGUGCCUUGCGAAAGUAUUCGGCCCCCUUGAACUUUGCGACCUUUUGCCACAUUUC
ensembl:lncRNA